AUAGCCGAUGAAACACUUUCUCGAGUGUUUGAUAUAUCUUCUCAAUCGAAGCAAAAACUAAGCAGUAAACGGAGGAGUAAAAUCGUCAAAAUCUAUGCUAAUUAAGAUUGGAUAUCCAAACCUCCUUCACGGUUGUGAUUUUCUUUGUUUUAACUUGAUAAAUUAUUAACGAGUUUGAGAAAACAGUUUCCAGAUCUUUCCAUCACUUAUAAGGGUACUUUUAACAGGUUGUACUGUUGCUAUGGUAACCUUUUAUGCUAUAAAGAUGUUAACCAGUCACUGAGUAUUUGUGUGGUACCUAUAUCGUAACAUCACUCGAUGAAGAGUGGUGGUAUUGACCAGUUGAAGUGUAACUGCUAGAAAUUACUGGGAAAUGUUACGCACAAAAGUACCAGGUGCAUCGUAUGUUCCAGCUGCGUUCUUAGCAUUUUAAUUAUUUAUCCCUUUUCCUAUAGGUUGCUGGUUUGUUUCAAGAUGCUUCAAUUGGGGAGAUAAAACUUACUUACGUGGUCACCGAAAUCAAGAUAAUUCAGCCAGCAAAAUACAAAUUUACGCAAGAGCAAAGUAACGGCGUCAAGUUGACGAAGAUAGCUAGAGAGGUGAACGCUGAGAUAACAGCACAAAACGUAGCCUACGAUGUCUUCACCUACGUCUCAAAUGCAGUUACAGGAGGGGCUGUCGCCAAUAUCAAUUCGAUUUGUAAAAGGGCUGCUGGAAGUGUGAAUCAGGAUAUCGGUUUGCAGACAGCCCUCCACAUCGCUCACGAGACGGGGCAUAAUUUCGGCCUCGGUCACGACUCUGGUGCCUGCGCGGAACAGGCCUAUAUCAUGCACAGUCCGCUACCCUCUGGCCAGUAUGCUUCAAAAUGGUCAGAAUGCUCAAGGAAUGCCCUUCAACGUUUACUCAACGACAGUGCUAGAUCAGCGUGUUUAGAUGAUGCUCCUGUUGGUGACCAUCCCGCACUUCCUGCACGCUUCCGCGACAAACUUCCCGGCACUUAUGCGGAUGGCAACACGCAAUGUGAAAUGCUUUACGGAAAUGGCUGGAGAAGAUAUCAUACGGUAUCAAGACUUGUAUAACUCUUCAGUACUAUCUCAUUAUUUGCUCUUUAUACGUAAAUUCUGCCAAUGUAUUCAGUGCAACCCCGUUAAUCCGGCUACACAAAUUAUAAAAUAAACGACUUAGCUUUUGUUUAGGUCAAAAUAAUGUGGCCGCUAAAGCAACUUUGUAAAACUUGUGUACAGCUGUCGUCAAAUUUCUAAUUCAAGCAGCGUUCAAAACUGACCUUUUCACAAGCUACCCUGAUUUAUCCACAUUAUCCGAACUUCAACCUCUUGGCUUAAGGUUCGUUAUGAACCAACUUCGCGCCAAGUUGACUUCAACUUCGCGCACGGUAGCGUAAUUGUCGGCUUUAAUAUCUUUAACAACAUUUAAGUUAUAUCGUAAAGUUGAAUAACCAACUUGAAGGAGAUUCAAGCCAAUCUUAUUCUCC